UCCUCCCUCUGUCGGCGUGCCUAAUACAUGCAAGUUGAGCGCUGAAGGUUGGUACUUGUACCAACUGGAUGAGCAGCGAACGGGUGAGUAACGCGUGGGGAAUCUGCCUUUGAGCGGGGGACAACAUUUGGAAACGAAUGCUAAUACCGCAUAAAAACUUUAAACACAAGUUUUAAGUUUGAAAGAUGCAAUUGCAUCACUCAAAGAUGAUCCCGCGUUGUAUUAGCUAGUUGGUGAGGUAAAGGCUCACCAAGGCGAUGAUACAUAGCCGACCUGGGAGGGUGAUCGGCCACAUUGGGACUGAGACACGGCCCAAACUCCUACGGGAGGCAGCAGUAGGGAAUCUUCGGCAGUGGACGAAAGUCUGACCGAGCAACGCCGCGUGAGUGAAGAAGGUUUUCGGAUCGUAAAACUCUGUUGGUAGAGAAGAACGUUGGUGAGAGUGGAAAGCUCAUCAAGUGACGGUAACUACCCAGAAAGGGACGGCUAACUACGUG
rnacentral:rRNA from 1 species